UUGGAGGGCAAGUCUGGUGCCCGCAGCCGCGGUAAUUCCAGCUCCAAUAGCGUAUAUUAAAGUUGUUGCAGUUAAAAAGCUCGUAGUUGAACCUUGGCUCUGGCUGGCCGGUCCGCCUCACCGCGAGUACUGGUCCGGCUGGAGCUUUCCUUCUGGGGAACCUCAUGGCCUUCACUGGCUGUGGGGGGAACCAGGACUUUUACUGUGAAAAAAUUAGAGUGUUCAAAGCAGGCCUUUGCUCGAAUACAUUAGCAUGGAAUAAUAGAAUAGGACG
rnacentral:rRNA from 1 species